rnacentral:rRNA from 1 species
GGAGGGGGACAACAGCGGGAAACUGCUGCUAAUACCGCAUAAUGUAUUCUGGAGGCAUCUCCGGGAUACCAAAGAUUUUAUCGCCGAAGGAUGGGCUCGCGUCUGAUUAGAUAGUUGGUGGGGCAACGGCCCACCAAGUCUGCGAUCAGUAGCCGGACUGAGAGGUUGAACGGCCACAUUGGGACUGAGAUACGGCCCAGACUCCUACGGGAGGCAGCAGUGGGGAAUAUUGGGCAAUGGGGGCAACCCUGACCCAGCAACGCCGCGUGGAGGAAGAAGGCUUUCGGGUUGUAAACUCCUUUGACGAGGGACGAUGAUGACGGUACCUCGAAAACAAGCCACGGCUAACUACGUGCCAGCAGCCGCGGUAAUACGUAGGUGGCAAGCGUUGUCCGGAUUUACUGGGUGUAAAGGGCGCGUAGGCGGGCAGGCAAGUCAGAUGUGAAAUCUCCGGGCUCAACCCGGAAAUUGCAUUUGAAACUGCAGGUCUUGAGUAUCGGAGAGGCAAGCGGAAUUCCUAGUGUAGCGGUGAAAUGCGUAGAUAUUAGGAGGAACACCAGUGGCGAAGGCGGCUUGCUGGACGACAACUGACGCUGAGGCGCGAAAGCGUGGGGGAGCAAACAGGAUUAGAUACCCUGGUAGUCCACGCCCUAAACGAUGAAUACUAGGUGUGGGGGGACUGACCCCUUCCGUGCCGGAGUAAACACAAUAAGUAUUCCACCUGGGGAGUACGACCGCAAGGUUGAAACUCAAAGGAAUUGACGGGGGCCCGCACAAGCAGUGGAUUAUGUGGUUUAAUUCGAAGCAACGCGAAGAACCUUACCUGGGCUUGACAUCCAACUAACGAAGCAGAGAUGCAUCAGGUGCCCUUCGGGGAAAGUUGAGACAGGUGGUGCAUGGUUGUCGUCAGCUCGUGUCGUGAGAUGUUGGGUUAAGUCCCGCAACGAGCGCAACCCUUAUUGCUAGUUGCUACGCAAGAGCACUCUAGCGAGACUGCCGUUGACAAAACGGAGGAAGGUGGGGACGACGUCAAAUCAUCAUGCCCCUUAUGUCCAGGGCUACACACGUAAUACAAUGGCGUUCAACAAAGGGAAGCAAAGCCGCAAGGCGGAGCAAAUCCCCAAAAGGCGUCCCAGUUCGGAUCGUGGGCUGCAACCCGCCCACGUGAAGUCGGAAUUGCUAGUAAUCG